AGUUUACUUAAACGAAACUGGAAGUAAAUCAUGAUUGCAGAAUGAGAAAUACUAGUUAUAUCCCUUCACUCUGAAUCUUACCUCAUCUUUGCAUCUUUAAGCUUGCAGCGAAAGAAUGCAGUGAUCACGAUACUACCAGGAAAUGUAUUAAGACAAAAGAUGUGGUUUUGGCGAAGAAGCCAGCAUGGAGUCAUAGGGUGGUUGCAGUAUUUUAGAGAGUAUGUGGUGUACUGAACUGGGGGUGUAAGAUUCAUAAAGAGAUUCAAUGCAGAGGAUUUUUCUAAAGCCAAAGCAUUAUAUUUCAUAAUUCAAUAAGGGACACUAUGACAGAUAACGUCAUACAUUGUAUGUAUUUUUCCUGUGUGUUUUCUAUAAAUUGUCUAUUAUGCAAUUUUAAAUAAAUGUCCUUACUAAAAAAAAAAACAA